rnacentral:rRNA from 1 species
GACGAACGCUGGCGGCGUGCCUAAUACAUGCAAGUCGAACGCAGUGGGUACGGGUGAGUAACACGUGGGUAACCUCCCAUCAGAGGGGAUAACACUUGGAAACAGGUGCUAAACCGAUACUGAUGGAUGGACCCUCGGUGCAUUAGCUAGUUGGUGAGGUAACGGCUCACCAAGGCCACGAUGCAUAGCCGUCCUGAGAGGGCGAUGGGCGAAACUGCGAAUGAGAAACGGCCCAGACGCGUAUGGGCGGCGGUCGUUGGGAAUGUUGGGCAAUGGACGAAAGUCUGAAGGAGGAACGCCGCGUGGGUGAAGCGGGUUUUCAGUUCGUAAAACUCUGUUGUUAGAGAGGCGGUCUCUAAUCAGAAAGACACGGCUAAAGACGUGCCAGCAGCCGCGGUAAUUC